rnacentral:rRNA from 1 species
GACGAACGCUGGCGGCGUGCUUAACACAUGCAAGUCGAACGGAAAGGCCCGGCUUUUGUUGCUUUCUCGAUUGGCGAACGGGGGAGUAACACGUGAGUAACCUCCCCCUGACUUUCGGGUAACUUCACGAAACUCCGGCUAAUACCGCAUAUGAUCUCCUGCUGCAUGUUGGGGAUUGGAAAGUUUCGGCUUUUGUGUAUGUUCUCGCGGCUUAUCCGCUUGUUUGUUAGGUUGUUGCUUACCAAGGCUUUGACGGGUAGCCUGCCUGAGAGGGUGACCGGCCGCACUGGAACGGAGACACGGUCCAGAGUCCUACGGGAGGCAGCAGUAGGGAAUCUUCCGCAAUGGGCGGAAGCCUGACGGAGCAACGCCGCGUGAGUGAUGAAGGUCUUCGGAUCGUAAAACUCUGUUAUUAGGGAAGAACAAAUGUGUAAGUAACUAUGCACGUCUUGACGGUAACUGAUCAGAAAGCCACGGCUAACUACGUG